AAACUACAAGGGGAGCCGAAGCUCCCCCAGAAGUAGUUGCGUGCUCUAUUUUUAUUAUUGAUUGCGGGCUUCUUGUUUUUGUUGAUCGCCCUCGUCAGGAAGCUUUACCUUCAUGACACUCCCAAUCGGGAGUCAAGAGCAAACGGAUUGCUUUGGUCGCUGUGUUGCUGAUCUACGAUCCAACCAGUUCAGGCUCUGCCUUAGGGCAGUU
rnacentral:misc_RNA from 1 species